rnacentral:rRNA from 5 species
GCGACCCCAGGUCAGGCGGGACUACCCGCUGAGUUUAAGCAUAUAAAUAAGCGGAGGAGAAGAAACUUACAAGGAUUCCCCUAGUAACGGCGAGCGA